rnacentral:rRNA from 1 species
AUUGAACGCUGGUGGCAGGCCUAACACAUGCAAGUCGAACGAGUGGCGGACGGGUGAGUAAUGUCUGGGAAACUGCCUGAUGGAGGGGGAUAACUACUGGAAACGGUAGAUAAUACCGCAUACCAUCGGAUGUGCCCAGAUGGGAUUAGCUAGGAGGUGGGGUAAGGGUUCACCUAGGCGACGAUCCCGAGCUGGUCUGAGAGGAUGACCAGCCACACUGGAACUGAGCCACGGUCCAGACUCCUACGGGAGGCAGCGGUGGGGAAUAUUGCACCAUGGGCGCAAGCCUGAUGCAGCCAUGCCGCGUGUGUGAAGAAGGCCUUCGGGUUGUAAAGCACUUUCAGCGAGGAGGCGUUACUCGCAGAAGAAGCACCGGCUAACUCCGUGCCAGCAGCCGCGGUAAUAC